AAUGAUCUCGAUUUGAUUUAACACGGCUUUUUUAAGAGUGGAUACGAUUUACGUAAGAAAUUAUAUUUUUGCACAUAUUACAUAAUACUUAUAUGAUUUAAAGUUACUAUAUUUUUAUAAUAUAUUAUUUAACCUGUUAUUUAUCCAUUAAAUAAAGCUUCUCCGAUGUUUUAAAAUUCGUAUUAGCACAUAAAAAAUAAAGAAUGUUUCAAAUUAAUCGUGCUUUUAGCGUAAUAUCGCGGAGCCUUUCGCCCGUCGCAUUUUCCCAACGCUGUAAGAAGUAUUUGAGGAUCGAUAGGCACGCAGAUAGAAUUCAUUAAAUGAGAGAGGGAAGAUGGAAAGUUGUCGCUUCGUAGCCUGGAAAAUUGAUUUCUCAUCGCUUUCAAGUGUCCGAGAUUGUAAUUUUUAAGCAGAGAUGCCAGAUUUUGAGUAUAGCACUUGGUAGAUGGAAGGGGAUGGCAACCGUAACGCACACAAGCUUAUGCGUAUCGUGUCCGUGUGCGCUCAUAAAAAUCAAAUCUUCUGUAUACUAUCAAAUACUAUCGGGGUCAGAAUCUGGCAACUAUGCUUCUAAGGAAUCAUUCUACAUGAACGCGGACUAGAGACAUUGACGGCAUGAGAGAAAGACGCGAACUCAGAUAAACUCAAAUAGUAAUUGCUCGUAAACGAAUCGGCCGCAAAUUGCGUACUAAUGGCUGCAGUCUACUUAUCGUCUUCCGUAUGCAAUUAUGUUAACGUGCCAUAAUCCGAAAAGUUACUAAAAGUUUUGAGCUUUCUGCUAUAGUCUUCUAUAAAUGACGAUGUUACUCAUAUAUUGAAUUCCAUACACAAUUGUAAUAUAGUUCAUUCGUGCAUAUAAUUAUAAUAUACUCCGUUUUACGUAUCAGAUAAGAUGAUCAGGCACGACUAAAUAAUUAAAAAGUAGAGUGAGAAACGCUUAUAUUGUUUCAAACGUAAACGCAAAUAAAAAAAAGUUAGAAAAAGCAAGAUCCGAAUCUGCAACAUGCAGUGUUCCACCUAGUAGUCCAUCACCUUACGCUUUGUUGUUACUUGGCUUUCAUUAUUACGCAAAGUUUCACCAACAAUAAAGUAUAUUAAUUGAAAAAUACUUCGUGAGCAGAAAGUUUGAUUUUGCGAUUAGCCGCGGUUGCUUUUAAUCGUAUAAUGUGGGGUAAUCGUUGCAUAACUAGUUUUAUCAGUCUGGCAGACAGAGUGAGGAUUAAAUAAGUUUUACCGAUCAGAAUACCAACAAACAUGCGUUUGCCGGCUUGAUAAAAAAAUUUCAUGUAAAUGUGAUAUCAACAUUGUUAUUUAUAAUUUAUUAAGAAUUAAGAUAGAAAUAGAUGACUGAUCAUUGCAAGCCGGCAUGAAUCAUCAGUAAUCCGAGAUCUCGUGAUCGUUUGUCUUAUCGGUGCAAUUUUUACAUUUUUACCGCGUUAUUUCAGAUACGCGUAAUCUCUCGCAGGAGUUAUUGCGUUCGAUAUUAUUGCGCGUCGUGCUGUUAUUCAUGGAAAUAAAUAUUCGAAAAAAUGGGUAGAUCCUUGCCGGACGCUGUUCAGGAUGGGCCCGAGAGGCUAGAAGCAGGUAACACAGCAUGUACUGUCACGAAGGUCCCUAGAGACCCCAGAGGGCCUUUUGAAGAUUUCCCCUCCUACAUAAAAAGAUCCUUGCUGGACACAGGCCAAUGUAGAAAAGUGAAUGAGGGUCAUAUGUUACUGCUUUGCUACAAUAAAUGAGCCCGAAUUCUUGGUGGAUUGACGUCGUUCUCGGAUUCGUACGUCCAGUUCCUCGGUCAUUACACUUCCGAAUUACGAGACCAGCCGCAUUAUGCAGUUUUCGUGGCGGGCAGAUCGAAACCGUAACAUCCUGCGGUGUCGCCGGCAAAAUUUGUUUGCCGCCUGGUAUUCAUACAAUUCUCUCUGCGUACCCCGCGGCGAUUAAAUUUUAAUGCUCCCCGGUGUACCGUAAUUCUCUACGUAAUUAAUUCGAGCGCGUUGCCCGGUCAAGGAAUAAUAAUGGAUUGGAUUUUAUUGCGGGGAAGAGUGGCGCACGAUUUUGUGACACUUAAAUAACUAUUAUAAUUUCGAUAAUGGAGAUAUUUGUGCAGUUACUCGCGACACAUAGGUACGCGGAAAAUUUUAAUGAGUAAAUGUUAUAUCGUUUUGCAAAAGAACUCGCAGAGUUGUGAUCAUUAUCUCGAUCUACAGAAAUUUUACGGAUUUAUGAAAACGUUAAAAGAUCGGUAUUUUUCUGAUGUAUUGAAAAGAAGAAUAUGAAAUUAAGUUUCUGUGAGAGCAAAUUUAUAUAAAUAUCCAUGUAAAUAAUUCUAUGUAGAUUCUAUUAAAGUGAUCUAUAUUUCGAGAUUUAAUUUAUAUUAUUUGGAAAAUUGAAAAUUCAUGGCGGAAGCCGACGCGCAAUCAGAAUUUCAUUAAAAAGGUACCGACUCCGGAUUAAUCAAAGAACAGAUGAAAUAAUGGCGCGAUUUUCCUGCGACAGCUUGUCGACAUUUCUGGCGCUGACGAUGAAUAUAUCGUCCUAUUUAAUUAUACUCCCUACGAACGAACGACCGAUGACUUACGCGAAUUUAAUCCAUCAUCCGAUCGAAUUGCAACAAUCCUUGAAAGAGGGAGAGAGAGAAGGAUAGUUUACACACCGCUUGUAAAUACGAAUUUACUGGCGUUUCAACGAAUUCCUGAAAUUCCUUUUCGGAUUGAAUUGGAUUGAUUUAUGACGUCAUUCGUUACAGCCUCACCUGAAAAAGCUCAUAGCUCCCGUUACGCAGACAUAAUUAAGAUUUUUCGGAUAAAGAAGAGAAAGAGAAAAAGAUAGAGAAGAUAAUCAAGUUCAUCCCACAAUUAGACAAGUUAAACUCAGUCGGGAAAAUUGGCAUUCGUCAUUACACAACGUAACAAAUUGGUUUGUAAGCCAAGGCUAAGCGUGAUAGAAUGGAAAACAGAUUCAGCGUGAAGCAUGCCUUGCGCGGGUACUUAGCGUCUUUCCUCUCUUCCUUUCUAUCGACGAAUUCCUCACGUUAAAUUCGGCGAUCCUUCGCAUAUUUCGUUGGCUUCGGAGUUUGCUGCUGAUGCAUGAUCAACAUAUUCCGUUGUUCGAUCUGCUCGCGUAGAUCACGCACGUAUUCAGACGUGUACACGACGUGUGUGGAUCACACGCGCCGUCCUGCGCGAGUAAACUGCAUGCCGCGCAUUUCUAUACGGUUUACACUCGUUUACGCGGUGCUACACGCCGCGAAUGUCUGCGCAACAAACGAAUUCGUUGCAUUGGAGAAACUGAGAGAGAAAGAGAGGGGGUGAUGCAGUCCCAAUUAAAAUUAUUCACCCCUUCUGCGGAGAAUAUUUGCCUAUUUGCUGGUUUGCUAAUUGAAAUGCACGCGAUUUAAGAACGUAACUUGAAGAUUGAGAAAGUGCCAAGAAAUGCCAAGAACACUAUCGCAAAUCAAUCGAACCGGUUUUUUUUUUUACGGAUGUGAUCGCACAGAGAUUGAUCGAUUAAAUUUUCUGAAAUGAUCGACUUAAAUUUUGAGACACGAAUAGAUUUUUCAUCGCUGCGAUGGCGUGUACACUUUGGAUAGAUUGAUUGUUAAAUACACAGUCGCGUUUAAACACGGACAGUUGGUUCUAGAGCAGUCGGUUCGUUUAUUAAAUUUUCACUUUGCCCGUAGACUGUAGAAAAGCCUCCAUUUUGCCGUUUAAUCCACGUGCGCGCACUGUCGCAGGAAAAUUCAACUAAACUUUGCCUCUCUUAUUUACAUCCUCCGUUUGCAGUGAUAUUUCACUAUCGCAAAUGUGUCAUACUAUGCGGGAUUCUCUUUUCAGCUCGUGUCCGUCUUUGUCCGUCGCUCUUCUGCUUCAAGUAGGAAGAAUAGGCGGACGCAGUCGAGAUAAUAUUAAAAAGUUAAGUGAAGGUGUUUAAUGAAAUACCGACUUGCAUAAUGUAUAAAAUUGAUUUAACUACCCGAUAAUCCUGAGCUUAAAUAUUCUUAUAAUCUUACAGCUGAACUUCACCAACGAAGUUGCUUGAAAUCCUGAGCGUCCUAGAUUUUCCGGAAUUAUUUCGUUCCCUCACGUACGGCCGUGUAAACCGAUUUAAGCCGCGUUUCGCUUUGCUUCAUCGUAUUAUUAUGUUAAAAUAGUUGAAUCUUAACAUUAUUUCGUUACCCGUUUGCGUUUUGAGAGAAUAAAGCAUCCUGAAUUUGUUUUAAUACGAGGAAAAGACAUUUUUUUAUCAUAUCAUGCAAAUGUCAACAAAGCUAAUAAAAUAUAAGUUUUCUCACGAUUACAGAUUCGAACGAUGAAAGAACUGAUUGUGCUCUUAACGUAGUAUGAUUAUAUUUAAUUCACAUAUGCGCUUAAUAUGAAAGAAAUAAGGCAUACAAAUAUUGAAUGCAAAAAAGCUUGGCUAAUAGGAUUAUUAGUGGACUUAAUUAAUUAAUUCUCAAGGAAACCUCACAUUGCUAAAUUAAUAUAAUUCUUUUAAUAUUUUAUAUUACGAUAUUUAAAUAUAGAUACGAUGUCCUACAAAAAGUGAGCCAAUCCAACGUUGGUUGGGAUUGAAAUUUUUAUUACCUGUAUUUUCCCGUUAGUUUUUCUUUGUUCUUAUAUAUAGGACAUGUCUAUGAAUCGACCUUUUUGCUGUUUCGUUUCCCAUUUGUUUUCAAUUUCUAUUUUUAUUAUCUGAAUUUAAAUAUGCUGAACCAUCUCUCGCUACCUUUUGCAUUCUACACGCGACACUAGUUAAUGUAGGAAACUUUUAUAACAUUCUCUCUCUUUCUCUCAUAUAUAUAUAUAUAUAUAUAAUUUAUUUAAUUAUUAAUAGAUAUUACAAUUGGUUACCAGAAAAUAGACCAACAUUAUCUGUAUGUUCUCAUAUCUGGCUAUUUCUACAUGUAUAAUUAUGCAAGUAACGCAAGUAAAAUUUUAAAAUUUGAGAGCAAUCAGGGAGAUUAAACAACAACGAAAAUGUUACAAAAACAGUUUAUAUUUAAACUUCUCAAAAUAUCAUCGCGCUGCACGAGCAACAAUAUGUUAUUCAUCGGAACGAAUUGCAUCCGUAUAUAUCUCGGGACGUAUUUGGCGAAAGCAUUUGCAAGGACAAAGGAGAGAUCCGAACGUCGUGAAACAAAUACGGCGAAAAUUGUAUCAGUAACAAUGCAUUUCUGAGGAAGCGAGCGUCUUAUUUCUUCGCGAGAUGAAUCAAUGAUAUCAACGCGGGCUGAAAUCCGUCUCUGCCAUCUCGUUCGCUUUUUCUCUGAAGCGAUACUUUUCUAUUAUGCGCAUUCUUUUUAACAACACAACUUGGAGUCGACGAAGGCCGUGGUUGGCAUCCUCUGCAGUUUGUCAAGACAGGAUUUGCUAGCCAUCUUCAAGAUCUACAGUGUAUUUGCUUCAUCUGAUGCCUUUCUCGCUCAAUGUAACUUUUUAGCCGGAAAUAUCGCAAUUAAUGCAAACGUGAAUUUCGCCGUUUGUACAUGUGGAGAGUAACACGAGAAUUAUUUACGCCAGGUAUCGCGUAAUCAAAGAUGCCCGAUGCGAUCGAUGAUGCUUUAAAAGCAGUUGUGUCUCACACGAACGUAUUCAUGCAACAAACUUUUAGCAGUUAAGCUUUCAAAGGAAGAAUGACAAAUUCCUUAGCAGAAAAGACAGAUUUUAAUUAAAUAUCUCGAUCUGUUUCCGAAAGAUUCCAUUAGAUACUUGAGUGGAAUUGCUCUUUUCACAGACAUCGACUGCGAUUCUUAAUUGUAAGCAGUAAAAGCGUACGUAUAUACAUAUACAUAAGUAUACAUAUGUGAACAAAUUAAGAAACAGUUACUUCUUUGAAAAGAAACUUUACAAUUUUACGGAUUAUACGGAAAUUAAUUGCUGAAAAAAUAAAAAGCCUGUUUCUUUUGUAUUCAUUUUGUAAUGUGUUUUAUGGUUUGCAUAGCUGCGUAUGAAGUCUCAUAAAUGAAAUCCGAUGCAUUUCUUUAGUUAGACGCCUUAGAAACUGAGCGACCACAUGGAAAGUGAAAAGAUCGAUUUUCGCGAAAAUGCUAAGUGAUAGAUUACGCGUAAGUAGAAGCCCGGAGAGGGGAAGAGGGGAUUUCUCUUCGAGAUGAACGGCGGGGGACGCUCGGGGGAAGUCACGGAGGAGAAUGAAGAUGAACGACAUUGCGUUGCGUUGCGAUCAAUGAAAUGCCAUGAAAAAUCGAGUGACCGAUCGGGUCGAAUGGAAUGAGCGCGCACGAUAUCGGCCUGAAAUUCCCUCGCGAGGAUCGCGUUGAACGAUAAGCGGAGUCAAUCUAUCAGCGCUCAAGUUAUGCUCGCUCAAAAAGGAAAACUCCGUCGGCACUUACGUAAACAGCGAAUUAUUUCAUUAAAGCACCGGUCCGAACUUGCAACAGCGUUAAUUCUCGAUUUAUGCACGAACGAGCUUCUCUGUCUCUUUCUCUCUCUCUCUCUCUCUCUCUCUCUCUCUCUCUCUCUCUCUCUGUUUUCCUAUUAACAGGUUGACCUAGCAUCGAAUUAAUAAUUCAGCCGAUACAGUCGAGGAAGCAUGUGAUGCUCAAUUACAACGAAGCCAACGAGCAUUCCCGCCCUUGCGCGGCGCAGAUAAUUGAUCGUUCGCGAUCUAUUUUAAUUUGUCCGGUAAUUUGACGGGAACUAUUUAAAACGUAACGCGAUCCAUUUUGUCCAUCGCGCGUUCGUUUCAUGCUAAGAAAGAGGUGCGAAAGAGGCGAAGACACGUGCUCCAUCAUACCUGUCCAACCGUGCGAACAACCGGAAGGGAUCGGGCGGUAGAAAUAGAGAUAGGUGUGCGUUCUUCUCUUCGCUACCCGUAUGCAGCACAAAACUCGCAAUUAGAGGAAGGAAACAGAGAGGCAGCGAAUUUUUUGCGGAAUGAAUUCUAUCGGGCGCUCGCUCUGAGUUGCGCACGAACGUACAUUUAAACGGAAUUCCCUCUCGCAUGAAACGUAUAGUGCAUACACGGGAGACGUGCAUUCGUGCGUGCGAGACGUACGUGGAUGCAUACGAAAACCGCCCGCACUCCUCUUCGGCCCGGGUGCUCAAUACUGGUCCAGUCGACUGAAUUUUUCACUCGCCAUUUGCAUUAUUCGUGCACAUCGGUGCACUCGAGCGUACCCGACGUUCUUCGGGUUCUUACCGCGGAGGACGGGGGUGGAUCGUUUGUACGCCGGGGGUUGUAUUGCGCGCGCGAUCACGUAGCGCGCGACCGUUCGUCCGCAUUACGACGAAGCCCAGCCAGUUGCAGCUGUAACAUUUACCUAAAGCGCCGAAACGGCUGUACGCGGUAAUAAUUUCGGGGCGAAUGGCUAAUACUGGGGAAAUUUAGGACGAUCGUUAAUCUGAUUAAAAUUACCCCGGUUGAUCACUUUCACAGGAAAGUCAAAUAAUUUCUGUCACACGUUUACAGCCCCGUAUCGCGAGUCUCGAUUAAUUUAAUUUUUUAUCGACUUUCUUCGAUGUGUGCACGCACGCGUCGGAUUACUAAAAGCUGUGAAAUUGUUUUUUAUCAGCACCGGCGUAAAGAUGUCAAAAAUAUCUCCCGGAGAGCUCAUGCAUCACACGGUCGUAAAAAGCUUCGCAUAUUUAGGGAAUUUGUGGAGCGCGUGCCUUAAAUUUUUCACACGUGUUUCAUGAGAGCUGCGCUCCGAGUUCGUUAACAGCUAUUUCACAUCAGCACGAGAUAUAACAACAUAAUUAACAUAUCUAAAACCGCAAUGUUCUGCGCCGCGGUGAUGGAAUAAUUUUGCAUGAUCGUAUUAAAGAAUAAAAUGGAAUCCCACGAUUAUCAUGAUUAUUACGGAAAGCUGCUCUGAUGUUUAAGCUGAUGAUUAUUCGACUGAUUCCAUGAUUCGUGGUUCAUGACGGACCACGUUAUCCAAUUUACGAUAACGAGACUUUGAUAAUAGAUAGAUUCGGUAAUGGAUUAAUUUUACGUCGGCAGAUUGAGCACUGCAAAAUCCCGAUAACAAAGAGGAAAUCUUAUCUAAUUUAGUCCCGACGCGUCAUUCAGAGUGUCAAACUGCUAAAGCAAUUACCGGCGCGGUGGCUAACAGACUCAUCGGAGCUCAUCCUGACGUUGACUGGUGACGCCAGGUAGAACUAAUCUCAAGUUUCUGUAUCCCUUGCAAGCGCAUUGUUCGCGUAUGCGUUGAAUGUAUGCGUUACAUUAAAUUUAUCGGCUACAACAUCUCCGCGCGCGCAAUCGCUUAUUACAGCCGAUUCAUGUUCACGGCGCGUUAUCCGGAACAACUUUACUUUAUUAAUUAAUAAGCUAAAUGUUCCGCGGGAUUAAUAUUAGUUCAUUAAUAUUAAUUUGAUCGAAAAGUCCGUGCAUAUCUUUCUAGCAAAAGUUUGUAUUAAGAAUUAAUUUUAUUUAACCAAAUGUGCCCCACUUUUUUCGAUGACUUAUCGCCAUUUCGCAGCUAGAUGUAUUAUGCUUUGAUAAAAUGAUCGAUUUUUAUCGUUGAGGAAUGGAAUCAGAUGAUUUUUGAGGUUUUCAAAAGAAUGAAACUGAAAAUUAGAUGGCGCAAGGUAGGAUGUAUGAAACGAAACAUCCAAACUGCAAUAAUGUUUGCUGGGUUUGCAAAGAAACGUGUUAGCGUUGUGUUAACAUGCUUUCUAGUGACCAAUUCUGAACGCUUCUUGUCAAUUGCUGCUUUUAAUUGAUCCAACUAAGAAUAGUAUUUGUCCGAAUUAAUUGUUUGGUUGUUCGGUCAUAACAGAUGGAUCCCUUCCAAUUUUACCAGAUGCAGAUCUUCGCAUGCAGAUCAGUCUGUGGUGUAAUGGUGGUUCACCUCACGACCCGCACUACAUUAUUGUAAACGAUCCACUUCUCAUCGCCCGUCACCAAUCUUUUCAAAAAUGGGUCAUCCCCAUUCCAUUUCAGCAGUGAAUUACAGAUGGAAAUGCGGUCCAUUAAAUUUUUUUCAGUCAACUGAUGCAGCGCGCAUCCAAACUCCCAGUUUCUUUAUUAAUUUCAGCUUCUGUGUGUGUGUUCGGAAGCAGUUGAUUGAGUUUCUUCUUCUAAUGUUAAGUUUCUCUGCCUGUCGAGUGGUAAUUUGCAAGUUCGUAUCAAUUAAAACCAUGAUAUGAUCAACAUUCAUAAUGACUGGCCGACCGGACCGAGAAGCGUCUUCAAGAUCCUUUUUUUCUGCACAAAAUUUCGCAAACCAUUUCUGGUCUCUUCGUUCGCUGACAGCAUCCUUUCAGUACGCGGCGCAUAUCUUUUGUUUAGUCUUUUUGUUUCGCAGUUUUACGAUAGUAAAAAAAGCAUUAUGUACUGGAAAAACAUAUGCAAAUAGCUGCUAAAACAUUUGUGUUUACUCAAUUACAAUUAUUGUGCUGAAUAAAUGUGUGUUAAAGUACCACUUUUUCGAAUAUACACAUACUUGAUAAAUUAUACUAAAGUUAGCGCAUAUUUGAUUCAAGUAAACGGUAACCGUUGGGAAAUUCGCGCAAACUUUCCGGUCAACCCGAGAAUUGCAUAUCUCCGCGACUCCACGCGCGCGCGCAGAUCUUGCGUUGAUCUCGCUUACUAACAGCUGCGCGAGAUGCACCGGAGAUAUUAACAGAUUGUGCAGACACAUGACGAUCGUUGAAACUCGCGUCAGCUGACUCGCAGCAGAAGGAACGGCACUCUCGUAACGCGUUUUCAAACAUCCGUUUUCAUAAAUUCGAUACGCUCCGCUCGGGCGAUGAAAGACUGAUUUUCUUCAUGAUAAAUUACUGUUCUUCUUAUCGUCGGUGGCGCCAAGCGAAGACCAAAAUACGAAACGACGUUAACUUACGAAAGUUACUACAUGGCCGGAAACUUCAAAUUGCGGGCAUCUCCGAGCUUGUAUGGUGCACCAACGUUACUUGACGAAAGCCACAACUUUCGCGAGAAGUUAAUUUUAAUAAUCGUGAGACCUCCGUGAUAUUUCCGUGAUGUCUCUGUGUGUGUUUCUCGAGACAGCUCCGAUCGAAUUUGAGAAAGUUCAUACAUCCGAAACUUCACCUAUGCCACUUGUUACUCUCAAGCGGCUUUCGUUAAUUGGAUUUGAUGUUGGCUUAAGCACAGAAAGUUUUAAAGUUGUAGGAAAACAACGUUUUUCGUUUCUCACAUUAUUCCGCAUUAUUCCAUCAACGACGUCAGGAACAUUGUAACAAAUUGAUUAAACUUCAUUUUAAAAAACAUUGGUUUGCAUGUCAAUCGCGCGAAAAUUUUUUGCUGCAUGCUCGUAAUAUGAUCACAUGAUGAAUGAAAUGAAACCACAAUACAAUGCAUGGCUCGCUAAUAUAAUUCUUAAUAGCGUGAGCGAGCUCUUGGGAAGAUUAAAGAGUUCGUUUCUUUUUAUCUGUUACUGUUACUGUUAUGAAGUGUUUUGUCACAUCUUUUUGUCAGGUUUUGCCCGGGCAGAUUUACGAUGUAAUCUGUAUUCUCAAGAGACGAGAUACGAUCAGUAUGACACUUAGGUUUGUUACUACAUAACUGAUUGCCGGGUCCCGGAGACAAAAAGGGGAUGCGUCAGCUCAUAAAAGAAAACGACAGGGACAAUACGUGCGCAACAAUCAUUUUCGGAGCUUUCAGGAUUUCAAAUAAAUGUGCGUACGUGCGCGUUGCGCUUUUUUUUAUAUCGAUCUAUACGUAUUGACAGUAGAAUAUCGUCGAAGCGAAAUGAUACCCGAAGCUAUUUCAGAUGAAAAAAAUGGUGUACCAUCACGUGGAAAUGGGGUGAUACUGGCUGAUGGUGAAGCGGACUCGAUAACGGCAAACGGCGGACGACAAUCAGAGGGUGGAAGUAAAAGUUGGCAGCAGCAACUGGCACCGCAGCGCAGAAAAAAGAAAAACACGACGGUAUUAGACUACGUUAACGACGAAAGUUGCAAAAUCGAAGCGCGACACCGACCGUGUGCAUAAUUCCUCGAUUUCUCAGUGGGAGAUUAUUUUGGGACUCGCAGGAAUCGGAUUUUCGACCGUAACCCAUUUAUAGUAUGACAUGUAUAUACAAAUUACCACCGUUUACGUGUACGUUAACCCGUUACCCGCGAAUCGUAAAAUUUCUCGUGCGAUGCGAGCGUCUAUCUGGGCUUUUAAUCGAAAACUAAUUUCAGAUAGAGGAUAUCGAAAUGGAAAAAUACACGGAGCUUAACGUUCGCUCUCUAGUCCAACAGUCUCAACGACAUGGAACGAAAAUAAAGAUAGGAACGAAAUUUCGCGAUUUCGCAUAACCCUUGUAAAAUCAAAAACACGAAUAUUCUGCGAUCCACAGAUAAAAUUCAUUGAUGGAUUUUCAAUGUUUCGUUUCCAUUUCAUAUGGAACAACUGGUAUCUCACAGCUAUCGUGUAUAAUAUCGCGAACACAUCAGUUUGCUUUAUCGCGAAUAAUUAAUAUAAUAAAUAAAUUAAAUAAUUAUGAUAUAUUCGUGUAUGUCGUGCCUUCGAACUGAAUGUAUUUUCUUAAACAGAAACGUAACUCGUUCACGCAUGUUUUCCGGGUUAAGAGCGGAUUAUAAUCACACAAGCGUUUGUUGGAGCCCUGUUUCAUCGCAAAAAAGGAAACGUUGACGUUUCUUUCAAGGAUAAAAACUACAAUGAGUGACUGAGCGCGAGCAUACGCGUUCAUACGCAUCUGCAUAUUCGUUUCCCGCAAUUUAAUAUCAGGGAAUGAAGAUAUUAAGAAUUCCUUUCAAGAAACCUUUUGUGAGCGUGCCCUCAUAAUUCGCUCGAAACGAAGCGUGCACGAGCACUCGAACGGCUACAAGCGCAAUGCUCGUUUGUUGCAGGUUGCGGCGUGCUCCGCCGACGACAUCGGUGCAAUGACAGGGUGCACGUAUGUAAGACCCCCAUAAACACGGGGAGAACACACGUCCACGCGAGAGCGCAUGACGACCCGGUAUAAAAAUGCAAUCUCGUUUGCGCUUAGACAAGGAAAAGUGAGGGCCGACGUUAGAGAUGCAAUAGGUACGAUAAGAAGCCGAGUACGAAGAACUAAGACAAGAUAAGAAGAACGAGCGGACCAGGCUACGUGUACCAACCGUAAGCGAGGUAUUACCCUCUUGACUCUACAAGUAUACUUUGUGGAAAAUAAAGUACGAGGAAGCGAAAGAUGGAGGAGAGCAAGCUUCGACGACUGAUGACACUAAUCGUUCAGCGUGAAACUCGCCGUGCAAGGGGACCAAUCGCAGCUUUAAAGUUAGUUUUAAAUUGUAGCAGCACAUGUGGUAUAGCACAUGUGCUUCAGCUACAUCAAAAGCAUUUUACGCAAAUUGCAUUUACCGAAGGCUUUAGGAUAAUGCAAUGCCGAACUUGAUACGCAGCGUUUCCCUUAAUGGCAAGCUUCAAUAUUCACGAUUUGGAAAUACGCGAUAUGCACAGCUAUAUAUUCUAAGUUAAAAAUUUUGGAAUAAUACGCAAGAUAAUCGAUAAAAUAUAACAAAAUUUAUAGUAUAAAUGUCGAAAUAAAAAUUGAAUUAAAAAAUUCAAUAAUACAAAAAUAUGUUAAAGAAUCAUUUAUCGUAGGAACCAUUUUAAAAUCAAGUCAAUUCAAGCCUUUGGAGGCGGAAAACAGGGAUGAACCGCUUCGAUACAAUUCAGUUUAUGUUUGCAGACGGCAUCAUCUCCCUCGAGGCACGCUAACCGCCGACGUGUCUGGUGCAGGGCGCGAACUAAUAAAUACGAUCGUCUGCCGUGUGCGCUUUGCCUCGGUCCGAAUGUCCAACGAGGAGCAGUGUGCCCUCUCUCGUCCCUGUGCCCUUUGUCCUCGACCCCGUCGCCAUUUUCCGGUCGCCGACACAGUUGGAGAUACGUAUGCGGCUGCAGACAAGACCAGUGGUUGGCCGACGGCCAAGCAACGUUCUAGCGAGAGAUUGGUUCCCGCUCUAGCCGACGUUGCACCACGCCAUGCUGUGCCAUCCCUUGCCACACGUCGCAUUGGGAGUCUCCGGAAUGUUCGCUUGGCGAUCCGUAAUCACGUCGUCGAAUCUAUCCUAUUCAGCGUAUCCUGCUAGUUUUACGUCCUCGGUCGCGAUUAAUCGUGUCUGCAUACACGCGAACGGUAUCGAUGGGGCGGGUGGAGAGAGAUUCUCGGAGGACCAAUGGUGUUCUAUAGCGACGAACGCCAAAGGCGACGAAUUAUGGCCACGACUGAAGUCUCUCUCUCUCUCUCGCUCUUUCGUUCUCUCUUCUUCUCGGAGAUGAGCUACCCUGUGGAUACGCCCUUCGUCCCGAGUUCCACCGGGUGAUUUCACGUCGUAUCGAAUAUCGAUAGGGUAACGCAAUCGUCAAGCAUCGUGGGCGUGCGGACAAGCUAUACGGUAGCUUAAUAUAUUUCGAAGGUACGAGAGCAUCGCCGAGCAAAAUUGCCUUCAGCCACGUUGGCCACGGUCGUCGGUACGUUGCUUUAAAAACGCCGUGUCGCCGACACCAGUAUACCUCAGGCAUUUGCGACGCCGCUGUGCUUUGAGCAUGGUAUCGCAAAGUAAUCGAGAUCUUCCGCGCUGCGGUGCGCCCGAAACGUCCUCGAGAGAUUCCUCUCGUCGCUCAUGAGACUUUCUGACUUAGUUCUUGAAGGUUCUCCUGAAAGAAAGAAAUACGCCGAGGGAAAGAGCCGUUCCUGACGCGAGAUUCAUCGUACUUCGGAUUUAUCGGGUCCGCCGCAGUCUAAGCAGUGUCGAUAAACUUCUCGAAAAUCAAGUGUAAAGUUGGCGAUAAGUGCGAUCGCGCAGCUUCGGAAGACGAUGAAGAGAAAACGUGAUCUCACGGAGAGCAAUCGGUGGUCGUUCCUAAAGUAGUAUUUCGAGACGUGAAAGAUAUAUUUUCAUUUUUAUCUGGGAAUCAUGCGCUAAACUAGAGUAUCUCGUGAACACCGUGGAAUUUUCUCUGUCUAUGGUAAGAAUGUAAUUUGAUGAAACUGAAGUGGAGGGCGGACGCUGAAGGCCGCGGAUGGACUGACGACGAGGAUGGUGAUCUCGGGAGCUUUGAAAAUUGAACCUUAAGUAGACCAAGGCGGCGAGCUGCGCUACUUGCGAUAUCUUCGGAUGAGAUUGUAGAUAGUUUCAAAGGAGAGAAAGGGCGUUUUCUUGUCUACUUCGUUGAAGCGUUUGAAGAGCGUAUUAAACCUGAGAUUCUGGAGAAAGAAAGACAGAGAGAACGAAGAAAAUCCAAAUUUUUAAUUUCCAAGCCAUGAUCACGCUUUAUCUAUGAAAUCAUAGCUUGCAAGCUGGAUGAAGGCACUUUCUGACGUGCUAAUAUUUUUGUAAUCUGCAUGCAUAAACAUCCGUGUCAAUUAAUUGUCGUGAAAUUAAGACAGUACAAACUCUUGAAUUUAGAAGAAAUCUUGAAUUUUGUUAAGUAUAAAAUUAAAAAUAAAUAUUUUUCUUAUUAUUAUAACAUUAAUAUAUUCUCUGUUCUGAAAUUAAUCUGACAUUUAAAUUCGAUUGUUUCCCAAAAACUUAUAACUUGCUGUGCUUCUUGGAUGAUUUUGAUAAAGUAUGUGGGUAAAGGCUAGAUUGUAACGUGUUAAAAAAGUGAAAUAAAAGAUCUGCCAUGUGCAACAUUGUCGUAAGAAAUCUUAUUUCAUGAAAUCGUGUGAUUUGCUCCGCGCGAUUUUCCAUCGACAUCUCACGACGCCGCGUGAAGAACCGCGUGACGGCACUCCGGAAAUCGUUAUUCACACGGCAGGGCGCAAGAGGAUUUUCGUGUUUCACGGUGAACACCGACGGAGGUGGAGCAGACGCGUUCAAUUAAUACAGCUCUAUAAAUCCUACGGCCGACCGAAUCACUUCGACGACGUUUGUGGCCACCUAGCAAGUCCGCGAUCGGGAAAUCGUUGGCUGGAAGACGGUCUCUCUUGUUCAAAAAGAAGCGGACCAGAUCGUCAAUCUUAAGACGAAGGGGAUACAUGAACCGCAAAGUGAUUUCGGCAUUAUUUAUCGGAAACCGUUUAAGGACAGAAAAGAAUGUUUUUUCCUAAACAAGAGUUAUGUUAUUUUUUUUUUAAUAUGACAUUUUCAGGAAAAUUGAAAAACGAAUGGUCAGUGAGAGCAAUGAUCUCGAAAGGAAAAAUAUGUAAUAAUUGCAGCUAUUGAAAAAAUUAAAUGUUUUCAUAAGAUCGUCUUUUAUAUGUAUUUUUCCCAUGCAAGUUAUGCAUUUUGAUGCAAAAAUACAAAAAAAACAAUAUAAUUCGAAAGCAAUAAUUAUAAUUUUUAAUUAUACCGAAACGUGUAUAAAAUUUUUGCAUAUCAUAAGAAAACGCGAUAAAGUUGAAGAUGAAUUCCUCAAGAAUUGAGUUGGUCGGAAAAAUUUGCGAGACGAGCAACGCGAUCUAUGGUAAGUCAUAUUUUCGGUAUACUCGGAAACGCUCUUCAAAGCAGAGAAUUUACGGAAGUCGCUGAGGCGGCGGAAAGGGUCAAGGAGCGGUCCGCUGAAAGGAAAAUUUAUCGUUUCCAACCGUCCUUAUUUUUUGAUAACAAAAAGCCACCGUGGUCGAGUGCACGAUGCCGCCCAUAUGUUGACGCAACCGCACGUAAUCUUCGUGGAUUUAUGAAAAAUAGAAGAGUAAUAUAUAUAUAUAUAUAAUCCAAAAGAUCGACAUCUCCGUUCUAUAGCCAAACAUGGCACGGAGAUGACGGCUCGCGCGGAUAUGCACUUUUCAUAUUUCCAGAAAAGAUUAAUUUCCCAUCUUAUUUUCUAUCGUCAACAUGCGAGACAAGUCAAUAUCAUCUUCUUAGCGGUAACCUAUUAUUAUUUUCUAGCUGCACUGAGAGAUUGCCUAUAUUUCACUAUCGAUCUUCCUAUUUCAUUCUACUUGCCGGAAGUGGA